UUAUUUGGUCGGCAACACCGUUUCCACUUUGACGCUUUGCUUUGUUAUUAUUCGUUGAAAAUCUUUUAUCUGUUUGUAAACAUUCAAGUCGAUUAUGUCUUACAUAUGGUGAUAGUCGAUUAUUUGGAGUCGGCUUUCUGCUGCAGAAAACCCCCGGUUUGUGAAUUUUCAUACACGUUUUUAUAGCAGCGUUUUUGCAAAUAUAAUAGAGACCACCUUACAUACAAUACAUAAACUACAGUUAGACUUCACAGACGAGCAAUUGCUGCGGAAGGUGUGUGUUGAAGAGCUAGGUGGCCCAACUAUUGUGGUUUUUAGAAACGAAAGCACGUAUGCACGUAUUUCUACCAUUGUCUCAUGUGGUGCUACGGACAAUUUCAUAGGAGACAUGGAGCGUGUUGUGUAUGAUGGUGCAAAUACCUGUUUAACAUGUGACGGUCAUUAUGUGCCUAGUACUGCUACCUCUGAAAUCAAUUUGACUUCCGAACUGGCUGUCCACGUCGAUACCUUACCCCAUCUAGAUCAAUAUGCUGUACGUAGAUGUAUGCGCAACACCUACACGAGCAAGUCCUCGCGCUUUAAGUCUACAAUUACAGAUAAGUUGUAAUGAUAUAUUUGUGAGUUAUUUUUAAGUUUUUGGUUUACAGGUUUUUGAUUUCUGCCUGAAGUAAGUGCAGUGUUCCAACACCUAUACGAGCAAGUGCACCCACAUUCCUCAUAUUUCCUCUCCGAUUCAUUACUGAGACACGUGGUAUUGAUAUACGUAAAUUUACAAACCAUCAGAAUUACUAAAAGUGGAUUAUAUUACCAACAUCUAAAAUUUUUCGAUGUAUUGGUUUUAGUCUAUAUUAAUACAUUUUCCUAUUAAUAUUAGGGACGCAAAGUAUAUUAAAGUACACAAAUUUUAAACUAUAAACUAGUAAAUUUGUAAUUUUUAUUGCAAACUAUUUUAACUUCUAAUUUCAAUUUUUUUCUUAUAUUUAGAAAUGAUCGACUGAAACUAUUUUAACUUCUAAUUUCAAUUUUUUUCU